AUCUCAAAAUUGGCCAAGUCCUGACAGCAGGAUCUGUCAGGAUCUGUGAUUUGCUUCCUCUUCUUGGUGAAUUGAACAGCCUGCAGUGGAAAGUCCUAUCUCUCCUGCUGGGGAAUUUGAGGAGAAAGAGAACCUUAGUGCACUAUGUAAUAGAAAUAAGAUAAUGAAGUCCAAGACUGCAUGUUGCCCUUGGGCUGACACAGCCUGAAAGAGCCAGCCCUUUGUCUCUCUAUCUACAGCAGCAAAACCUUCCUGGAAUGUCAUUUGAGUUAUUCCACCCAGUGGUCCAAUUCACUUUCUCUCCUGGCACAUCAGCAAGUUACUUAUUAAGCAUCUACUGUGUACCCAAGAGCAAAUCCCAGGAUCAUUUGAGACUAGUGUAGAUGGAUAAGCCAGAACUGCCCAGGCAUGACCAAAAUAGAUGUUGUCAAACCCACCUGUCCGGAGGCUUCAAAGGCAAGGAACUGAAAAGUAUUUCUUUCCUUUUUUUUCCCCCUGAGUUAGCAUUUAGAGAAGUCACAGCCACGAGAAUGCUUUCAGAUUUACUUUCAUUUACAGAAGCAACCUGGCCAGAACACCAUGGUAUAAAACCCCCAAGUUUCCAAGAACAUCUCAGAGCUGCGGAAUUAACCAAAUAUCCUUGCGUGAGUUAGAAAACCCCUCCCCAAGAUGCCACAGCAUCAGAGGUUAAGGCACCCACCCUGAUUCCUAGUCCAGCAGAUGUGGAAGAGGCGGCCGAGAGCUCCAUGAACAUAAGAAACAGAUCCUCCGGUCAAGGCCCAGAGAACACCCAAGUGCAACACACAGGCCCUUUGGCCUUCAGAAUUCACCAAAUAUGAAGUCUAUGAAAUAGUUUCAAUGCC
rnacentral:lncRNA from 1 species